GAUGAACGCUAGCGGGAGGCUUAACACAUGCAAGUCGAGGGGCAGCAUAGGGUAGCAAUACUCUGAUGGCGACCGGCAAACGGGUGAGUAACGCGUAUGCAACCUACCCUGUACAGGGGGAUAACCCGGAGAAAUUCGGACUAAUAUCCCGUAAUAAUAUCCGGAGGCAUCUUUGGAUAUUUAAAGUUCCGACGGUACGGGAUGGGCAUGCGUAACAUUAGCUGGUUGGUAAGGUAACGGCUUACCAAGGCUAUGAUGUUUAGGGGUCCUGAGAGGGUGGUCCCCCACACUGGUACUGAGACACGGACCAGACUCCUACGGGAGGCAGCAGUGAGGAAUAUUGGUCAAUGGGCGCAAGCCUGAACCAGCCAUCCCGCGUGCAGGAAGACGGCCCUAUGGGUUGUAAACUGCUUUUCCAGGGAGAGAAACUUACGCACGUGUUGCGUGACUGACGGUACCCUGGGAAUAAGCAUCGGCUAACUCCGUGCCAGCAGCCGCGGUAAACUCGGUCUCUA
rnacentral:rRNA from 1 species